rnacentral:rRNA from 1 species
UUGACCUCGGAUCAGGUAGGGAUACCCGCUGAACUUAAGCAUAUCAAUAAGCGGAGGAAAAGAAACCAACAGGGAUUGCCUCAGUAACGGCGAGUGAAGCGGCAACAGCUCAAAUUUGAAAUCUGGCUCCUUUGGGGGUCCGAGUUGUAAUUUGUAGAGGAUGCUUCGGGCAAGGCCGUGGUCUAAUUCGCUUGGAACAGCGAGUCACAGAGGGUGAGAAUCCCGUCUAGGAUCGUACGCCGCGUCCAUGUGAAGCUCCUUCGACGAGUCGAGUUGUUUGGGAAUGCAGCUCUAAGCGGGUGGUAAAUUUCAUCUAAAGCUAAAUAUUGGCCAGAGACCGAUAGCGCACAAGUAGAGUGAUCGAAAGAUGAAAAGCACUUUGAAAAGAGAGUUAAACAGUAUGUGAAAUUGUUGAAAGGGAAGCGCUUGCAAUCAGACUUGUGUCUGACGGUUCCCCUGGCCCUCGUGGCCGGGCUACUCCGUCAUGUCCAGGCCAACAUCGGUUUGGGUGGUCGGUCAAAGACCCCGAGAAUGUAUCUACCUUCGGGUCGACUUAUAGCCCGGGGUGGAAUGCGGCCCACCCGGACCGAGGAACGCGCU